GGUUAGGUUAGGUUGUUGCGCAUACCAUUUGAAUUCCAGUCAACAUCAAAAAACGUAUUUAAAUUUUUAAAGUGUUACCCCUUUUUUUAAAUACGUUGCAAGGGUAUAGAAUCAGUAUGAACAUCCCUCCUAUUCAACAACCAGGAACAAUGGGAGUAGGACAAAUGACUCAACCUGUAAAUCCUCAAAUUCCUCAAAAUCCACAGCAGACACAACAACAGCAGGUUCAGCAGCAACAACAACAGCAACAGCAACAACAAACACAAGAAAAACUUGACAAUAUUUCUAAAGUUAAAUCAUUAAUUGGACCGCUAAGAGAAUCAUUAGCUAUAGCCCUUAAAACUGCAGCACAUACACUGCACCAAAAUAGUUUAGUAGAUGUUGGAUCACUAAAGGGCAUUGAUCAACCUGAUCACCGUUUCAAUAAAAAUAUGGAAGAAUUUUAUUCUAUUUGUGAUCAAAUAGAAUUACAUUUAAAGACUUCCAUAGAAUGUUUAUCACAGAAUUCCAGUUCUUUAAGAUACCUACCAGUGGCUGUCAUACCAACCCGUACUGAUACUGUUAGUGCUCAAGAAGGACCUGCUUUAACUUAUCCUCAAUUCUUGAUGACUGUAAGAGCACAAGUUGCAUAUGUUCGUGAAAUUCAUGAUACCUUAGUUUCUGCAGCUCAUUCAAUAGCAUCUGGUGAAUAAUUUAUUUUUCUUGAAUAGUAUAUUACUUUUAUUACAUUUUUAAAUGAGACUGUAAGCAAUAAGACUAAAGUUUGUUAAACCAAGUACUAAGUGUAUGUAUGUAAUCUGUAUACUUUAUUGUUUAGAGCAUAAAGUCUUGACAGAAAUGCAAGGAAAUGUUAA